rnacentral:lncRNA from 1 species
CUCUGCCUCCCAGGUUCAAGCGAUUCUCCUGCCUCAGGCUCCUGAGUAGCUGGGACUACAGGUGCGCACCACUACUCCUGGCUAAUUUUUUUGUAUUUUUAGUAGAGAUGGGGUUUCACCAUUUUGGCCAGGAUGGUCUCAAACUCCUGACCUCAGGUGAUCCGCCCACCUCGGCCUCCCAAAGUGCUGGGAUUACAGGCGUGAGCCACCGCACCUGGCCAGGUUGGGGAAUUUUUUGACCAUGGCUGAUUUCCAGGAAUACAGGGUUCAGAUAAGUUUCAACAUUGUCAGUGGUUAUUUCAGUUUCCCGAGGGGCUUCUUCUAGAGAUUUCAAUCUGGGAUAUCAGUUUGGGGGCUUAUCUAGGCACUCUAGAGGCCUAUUCUUGGGUUCAAUCUGAGCAACCUGAGUGGACCACUUAGGGCUGUUAUUGCAGGUCAGUCAGUCUGAGGUCCUAGCCUGAAGGACUCAAUUUGUGACUUUAGUUUGGCAGAUCAGUUUCAGAGAACUCUACCUGGGAAUUUUAGUCUGUAGAACUCAGUUUGGAGGCUCUGACUGUGAGGGGUACUCUAUCUGCUAGGCACAGUCAAGGGGCUCAUUCUGGAUAUGACAGGUUGAUGCUCCAUCCAAGGUUCAUUCUAAGGUUGGUAGUAUGACUUUCUUCUGCAGAGCUCAGAGUAUUGCUUUAGUAUGGGGAUCUGAAACUUAAUUCUGCAAACUGAGUCUCUUGUACUCAGCUUGGGGAGCUUCUUCAGGGGCCUCUGGGGAAAUCAUUUUAGGGGUUUGGUCUAGAAACUGUUUGGGCCACCUGCUUUAUGGUAGUCUGUCCAGAGGUUCAGGCACUGGUAUACCUGAGAUCAAUCUCAUUGUAUUAGUCAGUCAGGAGCUCUGUCUGGAUCACUCACUGUUGGGUGCUCAGCAUGGGCAUUCAGACUUUUUGUUUGUUUUGGUUUGUUUUGUUUUGAGAUGGAGUCUUGCUCUGUCGCCCAGGCUGGAGUGCAGUGGAAUGAUCUUGGCUCACUGCAACCCCCGCCUCCCAGGUUCAAGUGAUUCUCCUGCCUCAGCCUCUCAAGUAGCUGGGAUUAUAGGCGCACACUACCACGCCUGGCUAAUUUUUUGUAUUUUUAGUAGAGACGGGGUUUCACCAUGCUGGCCAGGCUGGUCUUGAACUUCUGACCUCAAAUGAUCCACACGCCUCGGCCUCCCAAGGUGCUGGGAUUACAGGCGUGAGCCACCGCACCCAGUGGCAUUCACUCUCCUGAGAGAAGUCCGGGAGUUCCGAGUGAGUUCUGAGUGAGCUCAGGCAUUGGCUCACUCAAGAGGGCUCAGCUGGCAUCAGAUGUGAUUGCAUGUAACAAAGAGACACCAAAUAAUGAUGGCUUAAACAAGAUAGAAACCUCUAUUUUUCUUUUUUUGACACAGAGUUUCACUCUGUUUUGAUCAUUGCUCACUGCAGCCUAGACCUCCCGGGCUCAAGCAAUCCUCCCACCUCAGCCUCCAGAGUAGCUGGGACUACAAGCAUGUGCCAUGCCGGUAAAUUAGUCAUAUCUGCUUAUUUUUUUAAUUUUUUUUUUUUUGGUAGAGACAGGGUCUCCCUGUUGCCCAGGCUGGUCUCAAACUCCUGGGCUCAAGUGAUCCUCCCACCUUGGCCUCCCAAAGUGCUGGGAUUACAGGUGUGAGCCAUCGAAUCCGGCUCAAACCUUUUAUUUCUCUUAUGUAAAAGCAGUCCUGACCGGGCACGGUGGCUCACACCCUGUAAUCCCAGCACUUUGGGAGGCCAAGGCAGGGUGCAUCACAAGGUCAAGAGAUCGAGACCAUCCUGGCCAAUAUGGUGAAACCCUGUCUCUACUAAAAAUACAAAAAUUUGCCGGGUGAGGUGGCACGUGCCUGUAAUCUCAGCUACUUAGUAGGCUGAGGCAGGAGAACCACUUGAAUCCGGGAGGUGGAGGUUGCAGUGAGCCCGGAUUAUGCCACUGCACUCCAGCCUGGCAACAGAGUGAGACUCUGUCUCAAAAAAAAAAAAAAAAAAAA